GUGUUAAAAAAUAGAGAAAAUAUACAUUUGAUAACAAAGUUAUCCAAUGUUAGGGACUGAAUGUGUCUCCCCUUAAGCCAUAUGUUAAAAUUUAAACCCCAAUGUGAUGGUAUUUAAAGAUGGGGCUUUGGAGAGGUAAUUAUUAAUCGAUCAUGAGAGGGAGCCCUUGAGAACAGGAUUAGUGCUCUCAUAAAGCAGAAGCCAGAGAGCUUGCUUGCUUUCCUUCCACGCUGUAAGGACACAAUGAGAAGCUGGCAGUCUUCAACCUGAACCAACCAUGCUGGCACCCUGAUCUUUAACUUCUAGCUUCCAGAACUGUGAGAAAUACAUUUCUGUUGUUUAUAAGCCAUCUAGUCUAUGGUAAUUUGUUACAGCAACUCAAAGUGACUAAGAUGCUCAAGAAGAAAUAAAGGAUACACAAGAAACUGAUAACAUUAGUUAACUGCACUGAGAAGAAUUAUGCAGCUGAGGGGCAGAGAGCUUCUGGUACCCAAUGAAGGGCCACAUCAGCUGGGGACACCUUGCUCAGUCCAGAAGCUGCUGUUCAAAGAUCCUGGACUUCCCAUCUGACAAAAGCCAGCAGAAGGUAAAAAUUCUUACAUCAGUGUUGAGUCUCUGCCUUCAGGGCCUGGUGGAGCAAAAGUGGGAGAACGGACUUGCCUUGUCUUAGAUGAGACUUUGGAAAGUGGACUUCAGAGUUAAUGCUGAAAUGUGUCAAGACUUGGGCGACUGUUAAGGAGGGAUGAUUGUAUUUUGCAAUGUGAGAAGGACAUGAGAUUUGGGAGGUGCCAGAGGUGGAAUGAUAUGGUUUAGAUUUGUGUUCCCACCCAAAUCUCAUGUCAAAUUGUAAUCCUCAGUGUGGGAGGAGGAGCCUGGUAGGAGGUGAUUGGAUCAUGAGAUGCAUUUCCCUCCUGCUGUUCCUGUGAUAGUGAGUUCUCAUGAGAUUUGAUUAUUUAAGUGUGUAGCACCUCCCUCUGUGCUCCCUUCCUCCUGCUCUGGCUGGGCAAAAUGUGCCUGCUUCCUUUCUACCAUGAUUGAAAGUUUCCUGAGGCCUCCUCAGCUAUGCUUCAUGUACGGCCUGUGGAACCAUGAGCCAAUUAAACAUCUUUCUUUAUAAAUUACCCAGUUUCAAGCAUUUACUUAUAGCAGUGCAAGAAUGGACUAAUACAAUAAUAAAUGUAAAUAUGCCCAGAAGAAAAAUGAAAAGGUGUUAGCAAUGUAUCUCAAUAUGCUUACAGGCCAAUAUUUUUUUCAUGUCUUAAAAAAGGUGAGUUUGUCCCUCCAUACACAGGGUCUAACAAUCUCCAUCCUUUCGUCCUUCCUUUCUUCCAGGGGGAGGGAGGAGGAGUACACCUCUUUCAUACAGCCUCAGCCCCUCUCCUUCUUGCCAUCCUACA
rnacentral:lncRNA from 10 species